UACGGAGGAUGCAAGUGUUAUCCGGAAUCACUGGGCGUAAAGCGUCUGUAGGUGGUUUGCUAAGUCCGCUGUUAAAGCUUGAAGCUCAACUUCGAAAAUGCAGUGGAAACUAGUAGACUUGAGUGUGGUAGGGGUAGAGGGAAUUUCCAGUGAAGUGGUGAAAUGCGUAGAUAUUGGAAAGCCCACCAAUGGCGAAGGCACUCUACUGGGCCACAACUGACACUGAGAGACGAAAGCUAGGGGAGCAAAUGGG
rnacentral:rRNA from 1 species